rnacentral:rRNA from 1 species
GGGUUGUGAGGUUAAGCGACUAAGCGUACACGGUGGAUGCCCUGGCAGUCAGAGGCGAUGAAGGGCGUGCUAAUCUGCGAUAAGCGCCGGUAAGGUGAUAUGAACCGUUAUAACCGGCGAUUUCCGAAUGGGGAAACCCAGUGUGAUUCGUCACACUAUCAUUAACUGAAUCCAUAGGUUAAUGAGGCGAACCGGGGGAA